GAAAUGACUCGUGUGUGUGUGUGUGCACGUGUGAGCUUGGAGGUCCGGUGAGGAUCGCAACAGCGGCCACGAAGGAUCAGAAUGGCACUAGUGAGUGGCUGAAAAAGCUCCCCUGAGGAAAAGGACCCCUUCAGCACAGCAGCAGUUUUCUUAGGAAGCUGUUCCUUCCAAAAUGCAUUCUGGUGCCCUAGCCACGAAGGGACGUUUCCCAGGGCGGCAGAAGACUGUGGAUGGUUCUGGAGGCUCCAGUUACACUGAAACCCUGGAGGAGGACACCUCGUGGAAGUACAAAAGACACAGGAGACUGCUUCCCUGGCCAACUCCAACAGUAGGAGUCUAUCUCUCAACUCAGCCGGCCUCUGCGUUGGAUCUCUUUGUCUCGAAGAUUUGCAACUCUUUCUGGCAACCUCAGAAAUGGUGUGGCCACGGUGGAGUCUCGUUCCAUCUGUGUUCUCUUCAACUAAUGAAAAACUAUGGAGGUCUCAUUAGUAAGUAACGCAUGUAAUGCCCGUUGAUGUCAAUGGUGGUUGGCGGGUAGAGUUUGUGUGGGAGCACGGCCUUUAUGCCUUUGGCGGUCCCACAGGGCGCCUAUGUUCUUGUUUCUGCCUCACUUUCAGACACCUGCCUUCCCUCAACACCAACAUUAGGUUUGUCCCAAUUAACAAGGUACUAUGCACUCUUUACUAACUACUAUGAUUAUUAGAAAAUAUGAAGAGGCAAUGAGAACCCCCUUUAGCCCCAGCUCAGAGAUAGCAAUUAUUAAUAGUUGGAUAUGUAUCUUCCCAGAUGCCAAAAUGAGAUCAUAAUGUCCAUAUUGUCUUGUAACCCGCUUUUAGCAUUAAAAUACAAUAAAUAACUCUCUGUGUCCCA
rnacentral:lncRNA from 1 species